CCUAGGUGUGAUUAUCUUUCUUCAGAUACCAUCAGAUUUGGGAAUAUGGAUUAUUCUAUACUGUAUUCAUCCUGAAGCAGAUAAGCCAUGAAUUCAUAAAAGAAGGCUUUCUAGUCAUGUAUUUCCUGCUGAAUAAGGAACGGCAUCCACAGAAGUUCUGCAAGCAUGUUUCUGAUGCUGAAGUCUUAAUUUUACAGCUGGCUGUUAUUUUUGAUGGCUUAGAUCAGAGACUGAAUCCAGUUUCCUUACUUCCUCCAAAUAACUCUACACAGAGACAGUUGUCGCAAGCCAGGGAUAUAACAGUUGCUACCAUCACCACACCCUGCUGAAAAAGCCAUAUAAUGGUCAGUGUGCCUAAGGAAAUGGAGAAAGGAUCAUCCAAGGACAUCACUUGGGCAAGCAUCUAGCAAAAGACAGUAUCCCAUCCAGACAUGACAGACUCAAUCCUGGGUUGUUUCAGCAAGGUAGGACUCUCAUGUGCCAUCAGGGCCUGUCCCCUGAGGUCACUUCAUUCCUAUUGACAAAGCAAUUCUUCUCAGUGCUAAAUGUUGCAGGUAAGAUGAUUUUCUUCAUACGUUAUUCUAAAACAAUUUUCCCCUUGAUUUUUUCAAGCCAGCUGUCUCCCCAUCAUAUUUUAAUUUUUCUGGAAUAAUUGAUGAAAUGUCUUUUCUCCAAUUGUUCUGGGUGAUUGAAAGAGAGGAUGCUCUGAUAUCAGCAUUCCCACUGUUUGUGUUCUAAGUUAAAAUAUAUUAACAUAAAUGUUACGAUGUAUGAGCUUUUUAAAAAAUCAUGGCUGUAAUCAUUAACGCUGUAUGGAUUCUAUCAACAUGCAGACCUGAUUUUUUUUUCCUGAGCUUGAUCUCCUCAAAGGCUGAGCAUAGAACAUGGACCAUUUUCUUUAAAUUGGGAGAAGUUCUAAAAAUACUUUCCCAUUUAAAAAUAUUAAUGUGAAUCAUGAAUUCAAGGUACUGAUAGAGCUAUUUGGGGAUUUCAUGAGGAGCAGGGACUGACAGACGGGUUUUUAUUUCUAGAACUAAUUGGUAUAUGCAUGGAUUAGCCAUAGGUCAGAUACAAUUCUUUUUUAUUUCUUUUAUUCUGUUAUUAUAACAUGUGAGGGUGAUCUGGCUGUGACAUCUGUUACCCCGUUGAUUGCCAGGGUUGAUUCAGCUGAUCUGGCUGGCUAGGCGGGUGUCCCCUUCCACCCUCACCGCUCCAUGUGUGUCCCUCCCAAAGCUGCAUGCUUGGUGGAAGAGGAUGAGCAUCCCAGAUAGAAGGAGUGUACUGAUCUUCGGUCAAGGGUAUAUGUUGGCUGCGCUCCCCUGCUAGAACCUCCAAACAAGCUCAGAUACAAUUCUUAAAGCAACUUGAGUAUAACUACUUCACAAGUUUCAAAAUCUGCUAUAGCAGUAUAUAUAAUACACCCUUCAGUCACAAUCCAGACUCUAGAAAUCCCAUUUGUUUUGGCUAUCCACCAAAUUUGGACAAUCUUAUAGACAUCAUAGAUAACAAUGUAAUACAGAAAAAAAGAACAGUG